CACGUAGGCACCAAGCGUUGUCCGGAUUUAUUGGGCGUAAAGAGCUCGUAGGCGGUUCAGUAAGUCAGGUGUGAAAUCUUUGGGCUUAACCCAAAGCGUGCAUUUGAUACUGCUGUGACUUGAGUUCGGUAGGGGAGUGGGGAAUUCCUAGUGUAGCGGUGAAAUGCGCAGAUAUCAGGAGGAACACCGGUGGCGAAGGCGGGUCUCUGGGCCGAUACUGACGCUGAGGAGCGAAAGCGUGGGGAGCGAACAAG
rnacentral:rRNA from 1 species